UACGGGGGGGGGCAAGCGUUGUCCGGAAUUAUUGGGCGUAAAGAGCUCGUAGGCGGUCUGUCGCGUCUGCUGUGAAAACUCAGGGCUUAACCCUGAGCUUGCAGUGGGUACGGGGCAGACUAGAGUGCGGUAGGGGGAGACUGGAAUUCCUGGUGUAGCGGUGAAAUGCGCAGAUAUCAGGAGGAACACCGGUGGCGAAGGCGGGUCUCUGGGCCGAUACUGACGCUGGAGGAGCGAAAAGCGUGGGGAGCGAACAGG
rnacentral:rRNA from 1 species